CAGCCGCCGCGGUAAUACAGAGGGUGCGAGCGUUAAUCGGAUUUACUGGGCGUAAAGCGUGCGUAGGCGGCUAAUUGAGUCGGAUGUGAAAUCCCUGAGCUUAACUUAGGAAUUGCAUUCGAUACUGGGAAGCUAGAGUAUGGGAGAGGAUGGUAGAAUUCCAGGUGUAGCGGUGAAAUGCGUAGAGAUCUGGAGGAAUACCGAUGGCGAAGGCAGCCAUCUGGCCUAAUACUGACGCUGAGGUACGAAAGCAUGGGGAGCAAACAGGAUUAGAUACCCCGGUAGUCCCUGUCUCUUAUAA
rnacentral:rRNA from 1 species